GGCUGUUUUUCUGCUAAGGGGACAGGAGGAUUGAUCCGUGUUAAGGAAAGAAUGAAUGGGGCCAUGUAUCGUGAGAUUUUGAGCCAAAACCUCCUUCCAUCAGUGAGAGCUUUGAAUUGUUGACCAAAUACUUAUUUUCCACCAUAAUUUACAAAUAAAUUCCUGGAUUCUUUUUCCACAUUCUGUCUCUCACAGUUGAAGUGUACCUAUGAUGAACAUUACAGACCUCUGUCAUCAUUUUAAGUGGGAGAACUUGCACAAUCGGUGGCUGACUAAAUACUUUUUUGCCCCACUGUACUUCCCCAGCUCUUUUUUUUAAUGUAGACUAAUUUGUAUGAUUGAUUUAGUAAAUGUUUAAAUUAAUCCUGUUAGCUGUGCUUUGUUAAGCGGAAAUUGGAACACGAGGCGUCGACUUUAAAUGUAAAAUUGAAGCAUUGUUUUUUUUUUUUAAGUGUUUUUUUUUGUUUUUAGGCCAUCUGGUGAAACUAGCAUGAAGAUAUGAAAGCCUGCUGGUCUGCAUGGUCUCUCAGAAUGAAAGUUUCAUGAUGUGAGACAAAAGCAGGAAGUGUUAAGCUGUGCAGGCGUGGGAGACUUUCAGGUUCAGAGAAACUGGAGAAAUCACUGCACGUAAGCGAUGAUAUUACGGAUCUUCGAUCCCUCAGGCGGUACUGCAUCAAAAAGCGACAUCGGUGUGUAAAGGAUAUCACCACAUGGGCUCAGGAACACCACUGUCAGCAACUCCUCAGUAGAAGCAUUUAGGUCCCAUCUUAAAACUCAUUUGUACACUCUGGCGUUUAAAUAGAGCCACCUUUUUUAGACCAGUUGAUCUGCCGUUUCUUUUCUGGGCACAGAUUCGGUGACCGCAGAUGAAGCGCGAGCUGUCCAAAGUCGGGACCCAGGGUGGAGCACUCAUCCGUGCAUCAGUUGGGGCCACGUCUCUGCGCUGCUGACCUGUCUCCACUCAAGAUCGUUCGGAGGAAGUUGGGGAGCUUCUCUGGCAGAGGAUGAGCUGCGGGAAGACCAGGUGGGACAAGCUGCAGCUUGCUGCCCACGCCAGCACACUUGACUUUUUGUACGAGGAGGCCCAAAAGUUUCCAGGCUUCUUUCACAUUCGCUUUUGACUCGUGGGGGCGUGAUGACGUGUCGCAUGCUGGGAGUUCAGACCUUCAGUUGCGUUUUUAACACUAAAAAUUAAAACGUAUUUCACCAAAA